AACGAACGCUGGCGGCAGGCUUAACACAUGCAAGUCGAACGCAUCCUUCGGGGUGAGUGGCAGACGGGUGAGCAACGCGUGGGAACGUGCCCUUCAGUUCGGGAUAACCCAGGGAAACUUGUGCUAAUACCGGAGACGUUCGAGAGCAGAAAGAAUUAUCGCUGAAGGAUCGGCCCGCGGCUGAUUAGAUAGUUGGAGGGGUAAUGGCCCGCAAAGGCGACGAUCAGUAGCUGGUUUGAGAGGAUGAUCAGGCACAUUGGGACUGAGACAAGGACCAAACUCCUACGGGAGGCAGAAGUGGGGAAUAUUGGACAAUGGGCGCAAGCCUGAUCCAGCCAUGCCGCGUGAGUGAUGAAGGCCUUAGGGUUGUAAAGCUCUUUCGUCCGGGACGAUAAUGACGGUACCGGAAGAAGAAGCCCCGGCUAACUUCGUGCCAGCAGCCGCAGUAA
rnacentral:rRNA from 1 species